ACCUGCCUGAUAUUGAAGAAAUGAAGCCUAUGUCUGACUUGUGUGCCACUUGUAAAGAUAAGUGAACUGAUUAUAAGAAGUGCUAACAUGCAAACAGAUGAAAGGAUAACUGAGGCAAUGCAAAAGGCACUAGAUCACAGAAGUCUUGUUAAAAAGGAAAGGGAGUACUAUGAGGAUGUAUUAAAAGAGGCACAAUUAUUGUUACACUCAAAUACGCUUAAAUAAUGGAAGAUGAACUACCUAAUUUAUUACCACCAAAGGGUAUGUCAACUGAAAGGAAAUGGUACCUUUACGAAAAGAUAAGAUUGUUUUGCAGAUACGAAUGUAAAGAUGUAACCUGCCCACUUCCUGAUGCACCUCGACCAACAGGAUCAUCUCGACAAUCAACUCCAGGUGUAGAUAAUCCACCAGACCUUGCAAUGGAGAUUGAAGUACCACAUUCUCCAAGGCAAUCUCUAGAACCACCUGCAACACAAAGAAAAUGUGGUAAUUGUGGUCAAUUUGGUCAUAAUAGAAGAACUUGUCCAUGAGAGGAACUAGUUUGUCUACAACAGACUAUUGAUCCCCUGAAACAGGAG